rnacentral:rRNA from 1 species
CCUACGGGGUGGCAGCAGUGGGGAAUAUUGCACAAUGGGGGAAACCCUGAUGCAGCGACGCCGCGUGAGUGAAGAAGUACCUCGGUACGUAAAGCUCUAUUAGCAGGGAAGAAAAUGACGGUACUUGACUAAGAAGCGCCGGCUAACUACGGGCCAGGAGCCGCGGUAAUACGUAGGGGGCACGCGUAAUCCGGAUUUACUGGGUGUAAAGGGAGCGUUGAGGGGAGCAGAAAGCUGGAGUGAAAUUCCGGGGGUUAACCCCGGUACUGCUGUGGAAACUGUACGGCUGGAGUGCGGGAGGAGUAAGCGGAAUGCGUGGUGUAGCGGUGAAAUGCGUAGAUAUUAGGAAGAACUCCGAUUGCGAAGGCAGCUUACUGGAGUGCAACUGACGUUGAGGCUCGAAAGCGUGGGGAGCGAACAGGAUUAGAUACCCCGGUAGUC